ensembl:rRNA 5S_rRNA 5S ribosomal RNA
GUCUAAAGCCAUACCACCCUGAACAUACCUGAGCUCAUCUGAUCUUGGAAGCUAAGCAGGGUCAGGCCUGGUUAGUAUUUGGAUGGGAGACCACUUGAGAAUACUGGGUGCUGUAAGCU